rnacentral:lncRNA from 1 species
UUUGUUGAUCAUACUGAUAUGAUUUUAUGUUCCCACUAUUGUUCUUGUCUUUUUUCCAGGCAUUGAAGCAGCUACCAAGAGAGAAGGUACAGUUAGCCACAAAGUUUGGAAUCGAAAAUAUGGAUUCGACUGGUUUCAUAGUAAAUGGUACUCCCCAAUAUGUCCGUACCUGUAUUGAAGCUAGCCUGAAGCGCCUUGAUGUAGACUAUAUUGAUCUUUACUACCAGCACAGGGUUGACACCAACACUCCAAUAGAGGAUACUGUAAGUGCUUCAGUUGAAACUUGAAAGCAUCUUAAAAUUAUUUCUUCA